UACUAGUACUUGCAUGAUCAUGUAUAUACAUUUGAUAACUGUUUGGUUUAUUAUUGAUUGUGUUGUGAUUCUAGAUUCACUGAGUAAAUUAGUUGCUCAUGACUCAUUCUUGUGUGCAGGUAACCCUUAGGCAGGAGACACUUUACUUUUUGGACGGAAGGAACGGCCAACCAGCGGUAGUAUUUUAUUGUCCUUGCAACGUACCUUUUGAUGUAUAUUUACUUAAAACAUUGUUGGGCAAUAGGCCAUAGGAUAAAACUAUAACACUUUGUAAGAUGUUUAAAGUAAAUAAAUAAUAUAUAAAAGAUGUUUAUAAAUCACGAGUUCUCAUAUGAUAUUAGUCCUU
rnacentral:lncRNA from 1 species